GAGGAGCUUUCAAUACUUUGGGGUCAAGUUUGAGGCAGUUGUAACUGUACUGAGUUUAGUUUUGCUAAUAAUGGUAUUCUACGUGUGUCAGCCUCGUGUGGACUUCUGUAAUGACUAAUGGAUAUGUUUAUAUCCUGAGCAUUUGCUGUAGGAAUUUUAAAUGCAAUCCCAAAACUCAAGAUUACCUUAUUUGGAGAAAUAUUCGUGUUACUAUGUUUAAAAUUUAAUAGAACCAUAUUUUACCUUUCACUUUGGGACUCGCACAGGAUGUUUGCAGCUCUUGAUAUACAGGGUAAUCACCCUACUUACAGAACUAGAACGUGUCUUUUAAGAGCAUGCGGUUUUAUAAUUACGUGGAAGUAUGCUACGCAAGGGAAAAAAGCCUCUUGCUAGUGUUAAGGGUCUUCAUAAACAGAAACCGCAAGGAACCUGGGAUCUGACAGCUGUUGGAGGAAUGCCUGUGAGGAAGGAGGAGGAACAGAAGAAUGCUUUGAUGUCUUAAAUGGUACAUCCAAACUUAAGUGAAAUAGAGCUGUGAGGACAUUUUGGGGAGAAGUGACCUAGAUAAGCACUGACUGUUGCAUUCAUCUCUCUUCUUGCUGAUUGUGAUGAUUUCCUGUGCCAUAGCCAUUCAAAGUCUGCCAAAAAAGCUAGCAUGUAAUUUUCUUUCUCUACUUCUCUACAUUUGGAGGAUGGAAAUGUAGAUGUUCUUCCAUUGUGCCAGCCUCCUCAUUCUUCUUUCUCCAAUGCCGCAUCUUCCUGCAAACUUCCUGCCACAACUCAAACAACAGGAAAAUAAAUGAUCUGAAAUCCUCCUGAACUGCAGCCUACCUAUCGUGGUCUCUAUGGGUGCAAACUUCCUUCCAGAAGCUUGUUCAGCUGGCUAAAACAGGACAUUUGCCAAUGCAGCCAAAAGUUGGGUCUUAUACUGGCUACCUCCUAUGCAGAGUGAAAAACUUUUCUUUCUCCCACAGCCACAGACAUCGCUCCUCUUCCAGCUCAACAUCUUUCAAAGGGAUGGCUCUCAGUCCCGAAAUGAAAAGAAAAGGUGGCUUGGUGCAAAUCAUUCUCUUUAUCAGCAAAAGAAAUACCAAAGCCUGUGUCCUUCUGACAUAGUGAGCUGUCGAGGUAGUCCAGGGAAAAGAUGACAGUGAAUUGAGUUAUGGGAUGGCAAUGGAGACUGAAAAGAAUCUGUGUUUAUUAUAUGUAUAUAUAUCAUUAAGGUAGAACUAGUGGAUUUUCUCUGGCACUGCACAUGGGAAGCAAGUGAAGGAGAGUGAUCUAGAAUGACGCCACCAUUUUUGCCUGAGAAAUUCAGUACUCAGAGGUGUCUGUCAUUCAGAGAGAUGGAGGAAACAAGAAGAGGAGCAAGUUGGGGGAGAGGGUAAGCAGAAUCAAAAACUGUGUUGAUACAUUAACUUUAGGAUGCAUAGUAGACAUCAGAGUACAGAUGGAGUUUAGGAGCAAAGUUAUAUAGAGAGAUAAAUUUGAGAACCUGUAAUUCUUUUAUUUGUGGCAGAUAAUUAGACAAAUGAUUUCUAAAUAUUCCCAUGACUACUACAGAACAUCAAUAAAUUCCUUAAUAAUA
ensembl:lncRNA LYPLAL1-DT LYPLAL1 divergent transcript